GAUGAACGCUAGCGAUAGGCUUAACACAUGCAAGUCGAGGGGCAGCAUGGUCUUAGCUUGCUAAGACUGAUGGCGACCGGCGCACGGGUGCGUAACGCGUAUGCAACUUGCCUCACAGAGGGGGAUAACCCGUCGAAAGACGGACUAAUACCGCGUACACUUGGGAUAGGGCAUCCUGACCCAAGGAAAUGAAAUUCGCUGUGAGAUAGGCAUGCGUCCCAUUAGCUAGUUGGUGAGGUAACGGCUCACCAAGGCGACGAUGGGUAGGGGAACUGAGAGGUUGAACCCCCACACUGGUACUGAGACACGGACCAGACUCCUACGGGAGGCAGCAGUGAGGAAUAUUGGUCAAUGGGCGAGAGCCUGAACCAGCCAAGUCGCGUGAAGGAUGACUGUCUUAUGGAUUGUAAACUUCUUUUAUACGGGAAUAACAAGAGCCACGUGUGGCUCCCUGCAUGUACCGUAUGAAUAAGCAUCGGCUAACUCCGUGCCAGCAGCCGCGGUAAUACGGAGGAUGCGAGCGUUAUCCGGAUUUAUUGGGUUUAAAGGGUGCGUAGGCGGCCUGUUAAGUCAGCGGUGAAAUCUAGGAGCUUAACUCCUAAAUUGCCAUUGAUACUGGCGGGCUUGAGUGUAGAUGAGGUAGGCGGAAUGCGUGGUGUAGCGGUGGAAUGCAUAGAUAUCACGCAGAACUCCGAUUGCGAAGGCAGCUUACUAAGGUACAACUGACGCUGAAGCACGAAAGCGUGGGUAUCAAACAGGAUUAGAUACCCUGGUAGUCCACGCAGUAAACGAUGAUAACUGGGCGUAUGCGAUAUACAGUAUGCUCCUAA
rnacentral:rRNA from 1 species